AUUGAACGCUGGCGGCAUGCUUUACACAUGCAAGUCGAACGGCAGCGCGGGCUUCGGCCUGGUGGCGAGUGGCGAACGGGUGAGUAAUACAUCGGAACGUGCCCAGCAGUGGGGGAUAGCUCGGCGAAAGCCGGAUUAAUACCGUAUACGACCUGAGGGUGAAAGCGGGGGAUCUUCGGACCUCGCGCUAUUGGAGCGGCCGAAGGCAGAUUAGCUAGUUGGUGGGGUAAAGGCCUACCAAGGCGACGAUCUGUAGCUGGUCUGAGAGGACGACCAGCCACACUGGGACUGAGACACGGCCCAGACUCCUACGGGAGGCAGCAGUGGGGAAGUUUGGACAAUGGGCGAAAGCCUGAUCCAGCAAUGCCGCGUGAGUGAUGAAGGCCUUCGGAUUGUAAAGCACUGUUGGCAGGAACGAAAAGGACUGUGCCAAUACCACGGUUCGAUGACGGUACCCGCAGAAUAAGCACCGGCUAACUACGUG
rnacentral:rRNA from 1 species